AAGUAAUCUCUAUAUACUUGCCACUAAUGUUUCAGAAACGGAAUGUUAUUUAUCAAAAUUUCCACCGUCCCCCCGCUCAAAAUGAUUCAGUCACAAAGGGGAGCUGAGGUCGGACUCUUAGGAAUAUCAUUGGUAAAAGAAAAAAAAAUACUCACCUAUGCAGCCCUGCCCCAACCUCAAGAAUGAAAGCAGGGAGAAAAAUAAAUCUGAUCUAAGGAAUGUGGUAUUUUAGAACAUAACAGCAAGCUCCUUCUCAGUCAUCUCAAAUACAUGGUCUCUUGCAUCUGUGAGAGCUGUCUGUCCUAAUUUGGUGAGGAAGUUACUGGCAAGAUUUAAAGAUGUGAGUCUAACAUCUUCAUUUGCUUUAAGUGCUUGAGCGAUAGAAAAAGCUCCUUCAUCUCUAAUUUCAUUGAACCCUAAAUUGAGUGUCAUCAAAGAUUCAUUGACUACUUUCAAACUCCGAGCAAGGCAGAUUGCACCCUCGUCUCUAAGUCCAUUGGCUCGCAAGUCUAGAGUUGAUAUGGUACUAUUGUACUUCAACAUAUCGGCAAAAUGUUCUGCACCUUUGGCUCCGAUCUGACACCAACCAAGCAUGAGAUCUUUCACAUUUCCAUGAAACUUGAGUACCUCUGCUAAUGCCAUUGCCCCCUCUGGUCCAAUGGGGUUGUAACCAAGUUCUAAGGAGGUAAUGACAGAAUUAUCUUUCAGAACUUCUGCUAUGGCACUAAUACCCUUAGCAUGUAUGUCAUUGCCCCCAAGAUCAACAUUAGUUAUCGAGCGGUUCUCCUUCAAAGCUUCUGCAAUCUUUUCAGCUCCCUCAUCUUUAAUGUCAUUCAUAUAGAGAUUCAACCACAGUAAGCUUUUGCUUUUUUUGACGUAUUCGGCAACAUGAAAUGCUCCUCUUGCAGUAAUUGAAUUGUUGGCAAGGUCAAGUAAGACAAGUUUCCCUUUACGCAAAGACAGGCCAGAGAUUAAUGCCCGUACUCCUUCAUCGCCAACAGAGUUCCCCUGCAAAUAAAGUUCCCUCAAGGACUUAUUGCUCUCCAAGCCUUUAGCCAGUGCUGCAGCCCCUAAAGCACCACCAUAAUUGCCGUUGAGAUGCAAGGAUUGUAAAGUUUUAUUCUCAAGAAGUGAUCCAGCAAGACCUGAAAAUCCAGAAUAGUCAAUCAGAUUAUUGUUUAGUUCAAGAACACGCAAGGUUGAAUUUUUUUUCAGCAUUUCACCGAUGGCUUUGGCUCCCUCAUCUCCUAAGCCAGUGCUGUUCAACUGGAGCUUUUGAAUACCAGAGUUAUUUGCCAGUAUAUCACAUAGACACUUGGCUCCUUCAUCCCCAAUAGCAUUUCCAGAUAGGUUAAGAGUCUUUAGAGCAAUAUUUGAUUGCAAUAUACCAUCAAAGGCCUUCAAUCCAUCUGCAGUUAUUCCAUUAGCAGCAAAGUUUACUUCCUCAGCUGUCUGAUUAUAUGCUAAACUCUCUGCUAGGAAAAAGAGCCCCUCGUCUCCAAAGUUACGACCUGACAUGUCAACAAUGCUGAAAGAUCUAAGCUCUUUAGCAAAGUCAUUAAGCCUCAGCUUGGAUUCUCUUUCAAUCUUUGCACCAAAACCAGGCAACAAGUUUGUCCCAGCGGCAAUGGACCACUUCAAUCCCUGAGUAGACUUGCUUUCUUCUGAUGUAGUAUUGGCUGGUUUGGGUAGAAGAAUUUUCUCCACCAGCUUCCACAAAACAAAAGAGAUAACCACAAAAGCACCAGCGGGCACAACAAACGAAACAAUUCUGUCAACAGGUAAUGCUGGCGUUUGAGCUUGUGAUUCCUUGUAAACUCUCCGAGUACUCAUCGAACGUCUCGAACCAGUACUAGACGACGAAGCAGCUCUAACAGUUACACGUCUCAAUUGCACGCAUUUUCUUCUUCUACUACUUAUACUAAUCGGCGAAAUAUGAAUCAAACAAUAACUGGAUGAACUACUCAACGAUUUCUGCAAUCCGUAUCCAACUUUUCUACCAUUAAAUUCAAAAUUCACCGUCGGAUGAGAACACAGAGAGAAUGUAGAAGAUGAGCCCAUGGAGAGACUCAAUGAGUGAGUGAGACUGUGAGA
rnacentral:misc_RNA from 1 species